rnacentral:rRNA from 1 species
UAGAGUUUGAUCCCUUAUCAGGACGAAACGCUGGCGGCGUGCCUAAUACAUGCAAGUCGAGCGGACCGAUGGGAGCUUGCUCCCUGAAUUCAGCGGCGGACGGGUGAGUAACACGUGGGCAACCUUCCUGUAAGACUGGGAUAAUUCCGGGAAACCGGGGCUAAUACCGGAUAAUUCUUUUCCUCUCAUGAGGAAAAGCUCAAAGAUGGUUUCGGCUAUCACUUCCAGAUGGGCCCGCGGCGCAUUAGCUAGUUGGUGAGGUAACGGCUCACCAAGGCCACGAUGCGUAGCCGACCUGAGAGGGUGAUCGGCCACACUGGGACUGAGACACGGCCCAGACUCCUACGGGAGGCAGCAGUAGGGAAUCUUCCGCAAUGGACGAAAGUCUGACGGAGCAACGCCGCGUGAGUGAUGAAGGUUUUCGGAUCGUAAAACUCUGUUGUCAGGGAAGAACAAGUACCGGAGUAACUGCCGGUACCUGAC